rnacentral:rRNA from 1 species
UACAGGGGGUGCAAACGUUGCUCGGAAUCAUUGGGCGUAAAGCGCACGUAGGCGGUUCGUUAUGUCGGAUGUGAAAGCCCUUGGCUUAACCGAGGAAGUGCAUCCGAAACUGACGAGCUAGAGUACUAAAGAGGAUCGCGGAAUUCCCGGUGUAGAGGUGAAAUUCGUAGAUAUCGGGAGGAACACCGGUGGCGAAGGCGGCGAUCUGGGUAGAUACUGACGCUGAGGUGCGAAAGCGUGGGGAGCAAACAGG